rnacentral:rRNA from 1 species
GUGACCUGCCUUCGAGUGGGGGAUAACGUUCCGAAAGGAACGCUAAUACCGCAUGACAUCCUGCUUUUGGAGAAGCGGAGAUCAAAGCUGGGGAUUCGCAAGAACCUAGCGCUUGAAGAGGGGCCCGCGCCUGAUUAGCUAGUUGGUGGGGUAACGGCUCACCAAGGCUUCGAUCAGUAUCCGGCCUGAGAGGGCGGACGGACA